ACUUAUGAAGGAAAUUUGAAAACUAGCCACAAAGCUGAGAUUCCUGGAACAUCAAGACCAGAGCUGCAUCGGCCCAGGCUCAGAGGAAGAGACUACAUCAGCCAGAUCUUCCUGAUCCAACAAUGUGAUUCAAGGACAC